ensembl:lncRNA
UGUUAGUCAGUAAGUGACUGGCUGCUCCUGUAUGGCAUUAGAACGAUGCCACCUUAUCCCAUAGUCCAGCCAAUCACGCGAUUCACAUUCGUAUAUACGCAGCUAAUCAACGUCGUUGACAGGCUAUGACAGCGCCCUUAUGUGCCGACACCGGUGCAGUGUUGCCAACUUAGCGACUUUGUCGCUAUAUUUAGCGAGUUUUCAGACCCCCUUAGCGACUUUUUUUCUGAAAAGCGACUAGCGACAAAUCUGGCGACUUUUUCUGGUGUUAUUGGAGUCUUAUUUAUGACGACUUUUUGACGUGAAAGCGCAUAUCGCUCCUACUCUCAACAAGCAGCGGGUGCUGCCGUGGGCACCUCGCCCGUGCCAAAGCGCUCAUAGGCGGAGGAUAGUCCUCACGCAGCUGCUAUCAUGGUAGGAGACGUUCACCCCUAUGCGUUCAAACUGCAAAUGAAUCGCGCAUGAGCGAAGCCGCUGCUCCCGCACUGACUGUAACGCAGUCAAUUCUUCUUUCAAUGUUAUGCUGUUUUGUGGAUCACAAGGUUUAAAACUACUCAUAAACACACACACAAAGUAACCCCACCAGAGUGCCGAUUUUGGGUCACUUUUGCCAGUCCAAGUCCGGGUAAAGGAGCAGGGUUGGAAUUGUGACAUUAAAAAAAACAAAACAAUAAUUGCUAAAAGAAAUUUAAUUUGUAGUUCUAAAUAAAUUCUAAAUGCAUUUAGGACGUUUUUUACUCACUUUAUGUCUCUUCCAUGAUGUUAUUUCUCUCUCCAACAACGUAGGUUACAUUUACAUUAGCAUGACCAAUUAUGCAAAUUAGGCGAUGACGUCAUUUAGCGACUUCUAGCGACUUUGAGGACAGCCAAUAGCGAUUUUCCUUACUGAGGAGUUGGCAACACUGCACCGGUGUUUUAGCUAGCAAAGCGGCGUGGCUGAUGUGGAGUGAAGCCACGUUAAUGACAACGUGUACAACCAUUGGAGAUGUGAGCAGGACAGACAGGCAAAUUGGAGGAGAAGGCUGCUGGUGGGUCAGUGUUUCUUUUGUGGGAAAAAGGGACACUAUGUUGAUACCUGCCCGUUAUGGUUAAGAGUCUGUCUGUCAGUAGCUGUGGGGAUGCUAGUUGGCACCACCCAAGCUGUUACCCUACAUAGUCUCUCCUGUCAAGCUAAGGCUACGUCCACACGUACACCUGAAAACGCAAAUUUUUCUAUGCAUUUGCACCUUUCGUUCACACUGAAAACUGAGAUUUUUAAAAACUCCUGCCAGGGUGGAGAUUUUAGAAAACUCAGUUUUUGCGUUUAGGUGUGGACGAGGAAAACUGAGAAAACGCAGCGUCAAAGGUGUGCGCCUUUUUUGACGUCACACUGUGCGCCACGUUUUUUUGUUUUUUUUUCGUGAAAUGAAUUUCUACAAUGGCGGACUUAGACAAAAUACUGUUAAUUUUACUCUCUGAAGUGUUUAAAUGCUUACGUAUACACGCACAGUUACUGUCCCUCCACACAUACGACUCGGUUCUGCUUCUAUGCACCAUCUUUGUUUACUCUUUCCCACCCAGGCUUCUAGACUUCUGAAUGGCCAACAUUUCUACACGGUUAGGAAUAUAUCACCACCUGUUGCUCUGGCAUGUUCCUGGCAGCGUUUUCCUUCAUUUUUGGCGUUUACGUGUAGACGGGAUUUUAAAAAAAAAAGAAAUUGGAAAAUCUCCGUUUUCAAAAAUACCCGUGUACGUGUGGACGUAGCCUUAGUCUCACCACACCCAGAAAGUUGAACUGACACUCUCCGGCAAUCACGUGGAGGAGGUGAGUUUGUUUUUGUUCUGUGGCCCUGGUACUGAUUUGGUUCUUGGUUUUCCCUGGCUCAGUCUUCAUAAACCGCAGAUUGAUUGGGCAAAGACUAGCUUCCUGGGGCCCCAUUGCCCACCAGUCAGUUGUAUAGCCUGUCCAAACCAGAGCGAGAGGUGAUGGAGCACUAUAUAACCGAUUCAUUGCCAGCCAGCAUCAUUCAACCUUCCACAUCUUCACUUGCCGCUGUGUUUUUUUGUUUUCUUUUUUCUCGUUGAGAAGAAGGAUAAAUCACUUUGUCUCUGCAUUGAAUUCCACAGACUGGACAAAAUCACGAUAAAGAAUAAGUACCUGCUACCUCUACUCUCCUCUGCUUUUGAAUUACUGCUGGGAGUCGCUGUUUUUUUCUAAACUGGACCUCCGCAAUGGCUAUUACUUGGUCAGAAUACAAAAGGGAGACGAGUGGAAACCGGCAUUUAAUACUCACCUCGGCCAUUUUGAAUAUCUAGUCAUGGCGUUUGGAUUGACCAACACCCCCCUCUAAGCUCUGGUGAAUUAGAAACUUCCUAAACCACCUUGAUUUUGUCUACUUGGACUAUAUUAUCAUUUUCUCAAAGAACCUCUGAGACCAUGUGAAACACGUCCGUCAAGUCCUGCAACGUCUCUUGGAAAACCGUCUUUUCGUCAGAGGUGAGAAAUGUGCAUUUCAUGUGCAGUCUGUUUCUUUCCUGGGAUUUAUCAUGGAGCAGGGACAGCUCAGAGUGAAUCUGGCCAAGAUCAAGGCUGUGGUGGAGUGACCGGUGUCUCAGACUCAAAAAGAACUUCAAAGGUUUCUGGGGUUUUCCAGUUUUUACAGAUGGUUUAUAAGAGACUUCAGUAAGGUGGUGGCGCUAUUGACUAACCUAACCUCACCCAAGAUCUCCUUCCAGUGGUCCUCCUCUGCCCAGCAAGCUUUCAAACGGCUCAAACAACUCUUUUCUUUGGCACCCAUCCUGGCACAGGCCGACCUAAAUAAGCCCUUUAUGGUAGAGGUGGAUGCGUCAGAUUCAGGGGUUGGAGCGGUCCUCUCACAGCACAUUGAAGGUAAACUGCAAUCAUGGGCUUUUUUUUUUUCCUCGCUGUCUCUGGCAGGCAGAGCAAAAUUAUGAUGUUGCCGAAAGGGAGCUGCUUGCAAUAAAGUUGGCCUUCGAGGAAUGGAGACACUGACUGGAAGGAAUCAAACACCACAUGCUCAUUUGGACCGAUUAUAAAAACCUGUCCUAUCUGCAAGCAGCUAAGCGUUUGAAUGCUCGUAAGGCCAGGUGGGCUCUGUUUUUUACCAGAUUUAAUCUGACAAUCACUUACAGGCCUGGCUCGCAGAACACUAAGCCCGACGCCCUCUCACACCAGUUCUCAUUGCUUUUGGAAGCGUCAGAAAAAGAGAAACCCAUCCUACCCGCUAGAUGCAUAGUGGGGUCGCUCACUUGGGAGACAGAGAGACUCCUCCGCGAGGCACGACGGAACUGGAUCGUUGAGUUGUCAAGUGUCAAGGGAGCGGAGCAAUUGUGGAAUCGAGUGUUGGAAACUGCUUACCUGCCACGGAUCACGAGCACAGGGCGGGAAUCAGGAGCACACUCACGGAAACCACACCAUUGGAAUUGUUGCACAGUUUGCUCACUGGGCUACUCGCUCGCCCUAUUGCCCGUUCUCCCCUGCUCUCGCUCUCUGUUUGUCACGUAGCUAGUUAACUGAGGUUGACUAGGAAUGCACCUGUACACUAAUUGCAGGGUGGCGCCUGCUCAUAUAAGGCUAUGCAGGCUUUCCUCCCGUUCAUUCCUCCUUUGCCUCCUGCAAGCAACAUUGCGAGCAGAUAUAUCUUCAGGAUAAAUCGGGUAGUUUUGAUCGGGCUACACCACAGCCACAGGUAGGCUGCACGUUUGUCCUCAGAUUCUUUUCUUUCUUUUUUUCCCAUUUGAGUUGUAUAGUGACACAUUUGUUGUCCUGUUUGUAGCAUGGCUGUCUUAUUGUGUUAAGUUAUACAUGGUGUGUACUCAUGUUGUAGCAGGUAUUGAACUGCAAUAUUGCUACUGUCGUUUAACAGAGAGACAGUAUUUUAGUUGUCCCCCCAAGGGGGGACUGUUUUCACUGCAACGCGUAUGCUGCGUCAUCACACCCCUGCCUGAGAGAGAGUGUACCACAAGAAAAAUGGCAUCCAUGAGGAAAGGUUUUACCGCGUGUUAACGUGGAAUAAAGUUCCCAAAAUCUUAAGGAUCAAUUUCCUUUGAGUUGAUUGCUGUUGAUGCUGCAAUACUAAACAUAUUCCUUUUUGACUUCAGCUGUCGUGGAGAUAGGUAGUUGCAGUAUUAUCAGCAGAUUCAGUUUAGCAACUUCAGUCCUGGGGUAAGCAGCCGCUAACUAUAUUUUUUCCUGACUCCUAACUAGAGAAGGCUAAGCGCUAAAUGCAUUUUCGUUUUCAGGCUCUGAUUGCUGCUAUAAGCCUCUCCUCAUCUGUUUGUGUUCCAGCCCAACUGAACUAUAGAAACACCUGUAGUAGGCGCUGUUUUGGGACUUGUCCUCAAAGGAGCUGCUGCCUUGUGCCCCGGUUGAUUUUAUUUUUAUUGGUUUUAUUUUCUUUUACCUUGCCUUGUUUUAUUUAGUUAAUUUGUGGACCGUUUAUACUUGUGCCCACGUGACCGAGCGAGAGUGAUCCCCUCCUGGUGUGUCGUGCUGGUUCUUUGUUACCUCUGCACCGACCCAGCUGAUUUGCUCCAGGAGCUGUAGAGGAUUCCUCUUUGUGAGGGGGUCACGAUCAGUAUUUUAACCACUGUAACCAGUACAGACUGCUCUUCACUUGCGUGGUGCAAGCCCUUCAAUCUAUUUUGUUUUGUGUGUGUGUGUGUGUGUGUGUGUGUGGUUGUUUUCUUAAAAUCUGAAAUUUAUAUUGUCACCUGACUGCUCACAGCGAGCUUGGUAUUCCUUCCUUUUAAUGUGUUGUGGGUUUUUUUUGUUUGUUUUUUUGUGGCUUUUCACGUGUUGUGUUUUUUGUUGUUUUAAAUCCAGUGAACCAAGGACCCACCAGUGGCCACUGUUUUAGGAUGGGCUGUGUCACAGUCAUCUUUUAUUGUUUUUUUUUCUUUGUUUUAUUUUUUUUACAAACCCAAAUAAAGACAUGUUAAUAUUGGAGCCAAUCUGCCUCAGUGCCGCAUCCUUGAUCCUGUGUGACCUUUUUGGGGGUUUUAAGUGUGUGUGUGUGUGUGUGUGUGUGUGUGUGUGAGUGAGAGAGAGAGAUCUUGUUUUGCAGGCAACCGUUCACCUCAGGGGAAUGCUACACACAGAAGACCAGAGACAACUGCCUUCUAAGGAAAUGCCCAAGAGACAACCAAUCACAACAGUAUUCUGUUGUGAUUGGUUGUCUGUCUGUUUCAGAUAUUAUAAAGUUUAAUAUUUAUGUGACCUGGGGCUCUUCGAUGCACGCAGACUGCCUGAUGCACUGAAAGUCUAGCACUUUAUUGUUUCAAAUAUCCAACCUUCCAAGUUAAAGUCAAAAAGGGAAGAUGAAAACACUGAAAACAGUUUCAGUGCCAAACCUGAAAAACAACUGAACCCAC